rnacentral:rRNA from 1 species
GACGAACGCUGGCGGCGUGCCUAAUACAUGCAAGUGGGACGCAAGGGAAACACACUGUGCUUGCACACCGUGUUUUCCUGAGGCGCGAACGGGUGAGUAACGCGUAGGUAACCUGCCUAUUAGCGGGGGAUAACUAUUGGAAACGAUAGCUAAUACCGCAUAAUAUUAAUUAUUGCAUGAUAAUUGAUUGAAAGAUGCAAGCGCAUCACUAGUAGAUGGACCUGCGUUGUAUUAGCUAGUCGGUAAGGUAAGAGCUUACCAAGGCGACGAUACAUAGCCGACCUGAGAGGGUGAUCGGCCACACUGGGACUGAGACACGGCCCAGACUCCUACGGGAGGCAGCAGUAGGGAAUCUUCGGCAAUGGACGAAAGUCUGACCGAGCAACGCCGCGUGAGUGAAGAAGGUUUUCGGAUCGUAAAGCUCUGUUGUAAGUCAAGAACGUGUGUGAGAGUGGAAAG